rnacentral:lncRNA from 1 species
AACCCUAAACCUUAGGUUGAAGACUCAUUUUCAUGUUAAUGGACGUCCCUCAACAUGAAUUAUCUUUAGCGUUGUUUGUAAUUUCUAAUGAAAAUCAAAUUUACGAAUCAAUAUUUUUUGAUAAACAAUAAGCUUGCUUGUUCUAUGCUGACCAGCUGUGCAUGUACUUGUAAACAUCAUAGCUAGCACUCUUAUAAACUUAAAAGAGCUUACCUUGUUUCUUCCGGUGAUUUACAGUUCUUUAAAACCUUUAAAAAAAAAAAGUGAAGUAAAUUUAACUUUUUUUUUUUUUUUUUUGGUGGGGUUGCAUGUCAACCGAAAUCCAAAUUCAGAUGACCUUUAGGUUGCAAACUUUUUCAUUGAAGGGGGGGAAGAAAGGGACCAAAUCCGUCAAUUGUUCUUCCAAUUGGGUCCCUUAAUAAUUUUGGAGGCCCAAAACCAAAAUGCUACGAAUUUUCUCUUUCGUAACACCAUGUUGUUUCAAAGCCGAUGUUCUUCCCAUUCCAUCUUGUCUUCCACUUUCAAGACCAAUUUGGCCUGAUUACAAGAACAAUAGCUGAAGAUUUGCUAAGAUAGGAACAAAAAUAGAUUGACAUUAUAAUUGCGAUUACGAAACUGUUGAAACUGGUUAAGAACAACUACUGAAGCGUUUUGAUUUGCAAUGAUAGGAGCAGAAAAAGAUUGACACUGAAUUUCUAUCGGCUAUUGAAAUGAUAGCUUUUCUAGGAAUAGGUUUAUUAUUGCUUCUCGAUUUACUUAUUUAUCAGCAUGAGAUCAUUGGAGACUAUUUAAUAAAUGAUAAUCAUCAUAAAAUCUCACAUUAAAUGUGUACGAUGAUGAUGGGUCCUGGCUAAUUUUCUUUACAAUUAAUUCGUGGUUUUUUAAGGGAUACAAAAACUAAGUUAUUAUAAGGAAAUAUAUAUAUAUUUACAUUAGUAUUGAGGAAAGAGAAUCACCCAUGACACAAAAAGAUGGGUUUAAAAUGGUUCCAUGCAUGCUAUUACUGGAAAGAGGUGUUAUGACACUAGAAUCAGCUUGUCAAAGACAAGUUGGUCGUUAAUAGAGAUUCAAAAUUUUAAUUUGGGGUAUAAGUUUGUAGUUUUAAUCUCAAACCUUGCAAUUAAAGAGGAUUUAGCGUAUGCUCUUUCCUUUCCUUCUUCUUCCUUAUAAGGUCAGAGUCUCCUUUGAAUCAAAGUAAAAAAACCAAUAAUCCAAUAACAGUAGUCUAAUAAUAUCCGAAAUGGACUAAGAAUCUGAAAUAAGCUCAAUUAUGAAUGAUGUAACCGUCCUUUCGAACAAGAAUUUUAAAUGAUUUUAGAAGGGCAAUGUAAAAAUGCUUUUUGAUUUUUUUUAAUGCCUUGGGAAAACCCCCCACUGUUCUCAUGGACAAAAUGUCCACUUCUUUUUUAUCUUGUUCUCCCCACUUUUCCAGUCGAAACAAUCAGACCCUAAUUCAGUACCUUUUUCAGUCCCCAAAUUCCCGGGGAAGUUUCUAAUCUACGGAGUUCUUCUUAGUCAGGAGACUCAUUAGAAUGGCGACACAUACAUUCAAAUCUAAGCAUCCUCUGCAUUUUAGUACAAGUACGAUGAAUGUAACAUGAUUCUUCGUUAAUUAUUCUCCAUCUAAGCAUAAGCCAAAUACCGACUCCCAGUGGCGGAUUUAAGGUACCUCCACUGCUCCCUUAAAUUUCCUAUAGUAUCCAUAAAAUUUUGAUAUAAUUUCAAAUGUACGUCGAGAGUUUUCUUAUGAAAGAAUUAUAUGGUCUUCUAAGUUGAUUUAUAAACUACUAUUUUAAAAAGAUAUGUGGGUCACAAAGUUUCAUUUGAAAUAAGGUGAAUAAAGGCUUUUCAUUUCAAUUUGUUGGUGAAUUUUUUUACUUAAAAAAUUAGAAAAAGAGUAGGUAAAAAAAAUUUUAGUGUUGCUUUUACCCUCACUGAGAAUUUUUUCUGGCUUCGUCAUUGCCGACUCUACCAUUGUUGGAGACUUGGAGUAUACAGGUGCCAGAGAGAAGUGAUGUUUAGUUGUUAACCUUUGUGAUCUCAUCAUAAGUCGAGAGGUAGUUGAUCAAAAUUCCCCUGUAGUAGCUUUGUCCAUGCGACUAAAGAUCCAAAUUGUUUGUUCAUUUGCCAGUUGCCACUUUGAUGUUUAUGUCAUUCCGCUGCAACAUCUGUUCUUCAGUUGGUGGAUGCUGUUAGGAACUUAGGAUUUAAUUAUCUCAGUCAAAAUUUUUGCAACUAAAAUCUAGUUGAGAAGGCAUACCAACCUAUACAUCUUCAAACUGGUCCAGCUACAUUUGAACUUAACCUUGUAGUGCUUCCUUUAGAAAGCAUAGUCUUCCCCUUUAAGCUGAUCAAAAUACACAAAAAAAUCGUACUACCUUGGAAACUCAAAGCGGAGCUUCAAUCUUCUGCAUCAAUCAAUCAGCAUGGCUUCUUCUUCUUUUUCUAACCUUUGCAUCUUUCUAUCUCUGAUCAUUGCUUUGUCAUUUCCAAGCAUUCAAGUAACAGACGCGGCUCGCCAGCUUUUACAAACCUCACAACCAACAAUACCGACGUUGCCCACCCUGCCAAACUUGCCCACCGGAGCAGCAGCAUUGCCACCAUUGCCAACCACUCCUCUGCCAACAUUACCCACAAAUGUUCCAUCCUUGCCAAAGCCCGCGUUGCCAACAGUUCCCACAAUUCCUCAGGGGGCCCUCCCUCCCAUACCAGCUGCAACUUCAUUGCCAAACAUCCCAUUCACAAUCCCUUCAAUCCCAACUAAUCUCCCAACGUCAAUUCCUUCAAUUCCUUUCUUCUCACCUCCACCAUCCAACUAGACCAUUUUCUACCUGAACUUGUUUCAAUCAUUGAAUAUGCCGUAUCUGUUGCUUCGUUGUGAUAGCCUAAUGAUUUCCAUAUAAUUGGGAAAUUUUCACAGUUACAAUGGUCCUUGUAGGGAUCCUAUGAAACAGAUGGAGUUUGGAUUAUAUUGUGAGUCCCUGUAUUGCACACUGCAGGUUGUAUUCCCAUUUCUAAUGUUAUGAAUCCUUUUAUAUUUAUACUAUCUAAGAGCAACAUCUUAAAUUUUUCUCUUUUUUUUUUGUAUUUGAUUUUUCUGGAAUUACGUGCUCUGUUAUUCUGCUAAUUCCAUUCCAUUUGAUGAUAUGUCUCUUGAAUUAUGAGUUGUGUUUCAAUGAUGGGAACAACAUUCGCGCCGAGUUGGUCCCCAUGUGGUAUUUGCCAAAAAUGACACGGAAACUUUAACAAAAAAAAAGUCAGAUCUACCAUGUAAUUUUAAGAAGGAACAAUUUUGCAUCUGCUAUAAUCUUAAUAUUUGUUGCUUCACUUCUGAGUUUCUGAGGAAAAAUAAUAACAAUGAUGGCCAAAUUGAACAGCCACGACCUUUUUCAAGUUGCAUUGCUUGCGAUUGGGAAAGCAACAGUUUGUAUUUACUUUCAGUUUUAAGAAUAUGGUGUAAUGAAGUCACUUCGAACUCAAUUAGUGAACAAUUCGAGCUCGGCGUGAAUUAAAGCACUUGAACUCAAAUUUGACAAACUCUCAGGUUGGGUUUCAUCACAUACAAAUGUUCAAGUUUGAACUCGUCCAUUUUUUUUUUUUCUCGAAUUCAUGAAAUUGUUCAAGCUCCAUCGGAACAACAUCGAAUUCGAGUUUUAAUUGAACAACCUUAUGAGUAGUUCAAUUGUGACGUUUGCAACCCUACUUUAAUAUAUAGGAAUACUUGUUAAUUGAUACCAGGGUUUCCUUCAGUUAGUAUCGUUUUGGUGCUACGUACGUACUAUUUAGAUUCAGUUUUAAGAGUUAUUAAUGAAUAGCAGCCAAUAAUAUAAAAGCAGCAUAAAUUACAACAGUUAUAAUAGCCUCUCAAAUGAUCAUGAAAUCAAAACAAAACCGCAUGAAUGAAAUCAAUACUGAUGGGGUUUAUGUUCUUGAAUUUUCUGUUCAUUUAAUUCCCUUCGCAUGAUAAUACAAAUAUGAUGAUUCUUGGGGAUAAAGUUCCCUAAUGUUUGAGAGGUUGGUCCGCUCAAAUAAAUAUUCCACGUGUCUGACUUUCGGAGAAGAGAACACUUGGCGAAGCCUGGAUUAAACCUUAUUUGUCCAAGUCAUUCCCAUUUCCAUUUCAUCCCCUAUAAAUUCACCCCGCCAUACAGAUCAGUUUCAUGCAAUCAAAACGUAAUUUCUGCUGAUCAGUUUCAAAACUGUGGAUUGCCAGAUGAUGGAGAAGGCUUCAAUCAAGUCCACUCUCUCAGUUGCUCUCUUCAUUCUUCUUCCAAUUUGUUAGUCUCUCUCUCUUGAUCUCUCAUUUACACUUGCACAGGACUAGAAUGUGUAUUGGUGAAGGGAUUCUUGCUUCAUAACUUGAAUUCACCGGUUGAAAAUCAUCACUUUAUUUCUUCUAUUAAAAGAUUGUUUCUUGUUCACAAAAAAGGAAAAAAAAAAAGAUAAACAGGCCCUUUGAUUGCAGUAUUAUCAUUCCCAAUGAUGGAAGUGAAAAUGGCAACGAGCAUCUCAAGAAAAUUUCAGAUAUUUGAAUGUGGAAAUCCUUGUAGCUCUGAUGCGGAUUGCAAAUGCACUGAUUUCUAUUGUGCUCCGAUCCCGGAUGUGAUGAUAAUGGUUAUUAUAUUCAAAUCAAUUUUGGCAAUCUUAAUUAACCAAGGUGGCCAACAAUAAUGGUAUCCCACUUUAUAUUUUACAUAUAUAUAUAUAUAUAUAUUUUUCUUAAUUAACUUUUUACUUUUAAAAAAUAUGAACUCCUAAAUUCUAUCUUAAUGACAAUCCAUUCGGUACUAGUUAAAUAUACCCUAUAUUAUUUUACAAGCCCAAAACCCAAAGCGCUAAUUUUCUACCUUUUUAAAAAAAAAAAAAGCCCCCCAUCCACUCGUCCAGGUCUUUUCCCAACGAGUACUCAGGCUGCUGGCCCUAAAUUACUAACUUCAAACUCACAACAAACGUUGGCAAAUGAUGAGUUAGUUGUAUUUAAAAAUGCAUGUUUUCUUAGCUACGUAAUUAUGGUAAUAUGCGUACAACGACUAUAUAUUUUGUUGUAACAUAUUUUUAAGAUUAUGAGAUGGUUGCGUUCCUUGUUGAAAGUGGCUUUCGAAGUUAUUUUAUAAUCAAUCAUGUUACCAAUUUUAAAAAUUUUGAAGUUUUUUUAAAAAUUUUUUUUUUUAGUGUAAAUAGAAGGAUUCACGUCAUCAUCCUAGUCUGGAGUUAGUUCAUCGACAUUUUUCUAUGCUGGCUUCUCACAACCACGUCCUGUCCAUCAAAAUCCUCUCAUCUAUUUCAGUUGUCAAAAAUGAGCAACUGGCAGGUCAUUCCAUAUCAUCAUAUAUACACAUUAUUUAUUUAUUCGGUGGACUUUUGUUGAUGAGAAUUCUGAACUUCGAAAAAGUGAAAUUGGUUGAGGUAGCAAACCAACCUGCAGUAAUUCUUCCAACUUGUCCAACUGCAUCUAGCCAACCAUUGCUCCCUAUAAAAAGCAUUACCUCCCCCUUCAACUCAGACAACAUACUAACACAUAUAUUUGGGAAUUCCCCUACAAAUUCAGUUUCGAGCUUCUUCCUUCUGCGGUAUUCAAUCCAAUGGCUACUUCUUCCAAUGUCUGCUUCUUUCUGUCUUUGCUCAUUGCUUUAUCAUUUUCGAGCAUCCAAGAAAGCCAGGCCGCUCGCCGACUAUUGCAAACUUCCCCACCAGUGAUACCAGCAAUACCAACAUUGCCUGGUACAACCAUGCCAAAUUUGCCUACCACAUUGCCACCAUUGUCAAGUACUCCUUUCCCAACAUUACCAACAAAUCUUCCAUCUUUGCCAACUAUGCCCACAGUUCCGAAGGUGGCCCUCCCUCCCAUUCCAGCUGCAACUUCGUUGCCAAAUAUUCCAUCCACAAUUCCUCCAAUCCCAACUAAUAUCCCAACUUCAUUUCCUUCAAUUCCUUUCUUCUCACCACCGCCAUCCAACUAGACCAUUUUAGAUAUUUGAAUGUUUGAGUUUGUCAUAUCUGUUGUUCCUUCAGAUCGCUUAUCAUACGAUUUCAUGUACAAGUAAUUUUUACAGUUUCAUUAGUCCGUCUGUAUAGCUAGGGAUCUUAUGAAGUAGACGGAGUUUGGUUUGUUUUUGAGAUUGUAUUGCGAUUGUUUAUGUUAUAACUAGUUCUUAAUUGAUACCAUGUAGGAGUUUCUUGUUUGUUGUUUCUUGAUACUUUCGUUUAUUUAUCUAUCUUUCGUUGGCUUGAGGCCUUAUAUUACACCUCUCGUUACACUUUAUUAUUCAACUUUUUAAAAUGACAUGCAUCCCCACAACACAUUAAUCAAAAGAACUUGGAUUCUUAUCCAUGAUUAUAUGCAACACAUCUCAAUCUAACUGUUUGUCUAAUAAGAAUAUAACAUAAAUCAGACGAUCUUUUUUAUUUUGUAAAUUACAUUCUCACCACUCAGCUAUCAUUCAUCAAAUGUAAAAUUUUAAUUUAAGGUCAAUUUUAGAAACCUUCCUUAAAUUUUUUAACGAUUUCAGGCAGUACUCUCUUGUAAUUUGGAUAAUUAAACCCACCUACAUUGCUAACUUCAAUUGAGUAUCAUAACCCUUUUCUAAGAUACAGGCUGUUUACAGAAGAAAAAACCAGAAAAUUAUUCACCCAAAUUCCCCAACACUCCCCGUCUUCUUGUCAGCACUAUUGUACUUUUAUCCAUUUUUACCACCAUCACUACCAUCAUUGCCAGAAGCAUGGCAAACAGAUGCUUCUCAAAUUACCUGCCCAAAAAAAAAAAAAUUUCGAAUGAGAUGCUGCAACACCACCCAAGCCAUAAUCUACCAGCCCAAAAACCUAAAAAAAAAAAACACACACACACACACACGAUAUGCUCCCUCUUUGCCAUCAAGCAUGUCUGCCCAAAUCCUUUGCUACUUUGGUUUCCUCAACCAAUAUACCUCAAUCCCUCCCCUCUCUCAAAUAACAUCUGAAAAGUAAUGGAGUCAGCUCCAGUCCCAAAGGGGUAUACUUCUUUCUUUAGUUAUUCAUGGUGGAAAUAUGCUGCUAAUCAAUGUCCACAAUAGUUAUAGACGACAGACAACCAAGCUAUGCUGGUUUCAGCAAUUUGAUACAGACGUCCAAAAAAUAAAACCAAAAAGUAUUAACAUGGAUAUAAUAAUUGCAAACUCCAAAUAACUAAAAUGUCAGCGUUUAGCCAAAUGUAUGAUCCCACACUUGGAUUCAAUAUAUAUAUAUAUAAAUAUUUAUUUAUUUAUUAGGUCGCUUGGUUUCAAUUUCUUCAAGCUUAUAUGAUCAUACACUUUGUUUGAGUUUCUUUAAGCUCUAUCUGACUUUGUUAUACGGUUAAAGGCUUAAUGCUUUGUCAGGAGCCUUAAGUUUGCCUGUUUAGGUACGUGGUUAUUGGAACUUUAGUUACUGUAGCCUAAAUUCCUUUUAGUAAAGAUUAAAUUAAUGGUGGGAUCGUAGUAGAAGUAAAAAAAAAAAAAAAAAAAAAAAAAGUCGCUGGACCAGGAGUAUAUUUUGUGGUAAGCACUUUUUGAUAUGUUUGUGUAUCAUAAAGUAUCAUCAAAUGUGGAAAUCUUAAUUACUCAUAUUCUGAGACCGAACAAACAAAAAAGAUAAUCUGAAUCAGAAACUUGUGCUUGUGAUUCGUGAACAUCCGUCAUCUUACUCUAUUAUUUUGGUCUCUAGCGGUUGUAUUACUCUUUGGUUUUGAUUUUAUCUGGUUGUACUUUUGUUCAAGCAGUGACUUGUUGAAACUGGCCAAUGAAUUGGGAAAAAAAAAAAAAUCAAAAGCGAAGCGGUUUGUUCAAUUUUCGUGUGUUUUCUUUACAUUAAAUUUAUUGACAUAUUAACAUUAUAUGGUUUCUUGUGGAUUAAGUUCCUAACGGGAGAUUCUGCCCGCUAUGGAAACUUUUAUAUUGUACCGAAUUUGAAAGACCUAUUUGGCAUAUUCUCGAUCAAACCUCAUUUGUCGAAUCCAUUUCCAGUUUGAGUUUAUCCCCUAUAAAUUCACCUGAAAUAGACUAGUUUCAUGCAUACAAAAAUUAGUUUCUACUGCUCAUCAACAACAGUGGAUACUAGAUGGAGAAGGCUUCAAUCAAGCCCGCUCUCUUAUUUGCUCUCUUCAUUCUUCCAAUUUGUGAGUUUCUCUAGGAUUCUUACCUCAGAACUUGAAGUCACGGGUUAAAAAUCCACACUUUUAUUUCCCCUACUAAAACAUUGUUCCUUUUCCAUUUAAAGAAAAAAGUACAGGUAAAAAGACCCUUUUUCAUCUAACAAAACCUUUUUUCCCCUAAUGUGAUUUAAUUGUAGUAUUAUCUUUUCCAGUGAUGAAAGCCAUGGAAGUGAAAGUCACUGGCAACAAGCAUCUCAAGAAAACUUCAGCAGGAUUGUGCAAUUCCUUGUGGCUCUGAUGCGGAUUGCACAUGCAUAGGUUUUAGUUGUGCUCUGACUCCCAUAGAGGGAUGUGACGAUAAUGGUAAUUGUAUUCAAGUUAGUCGUUGCCUGGACGAAAUUCAAGCAUUGUGGCAAACAAUAAGAGGCGUGUAAUACAAUUAUUUUAAAGGUUUUGUCUACUGGUUAUUGGUUUCUUUGGUAGUAAGAGUUUGUUUGUAAUAAAGAUAGUAGGAUGAGAUUUUUUUUUUAACGUAAAAAGAGAUUUUAUUGAAUAGAACAUGAAUGUACACAAGUGCAGAGGUAUUUGCUACACAAAAGUACGACUAAAACCAAUUAAGCUAUACAAUAGUACUGCUACAAUGAACUAAACUCCGAUUAUGCUAUCAACAUUUAAGAAAAAUCUCUUGGGGAAAUCCCAACUAAAACAAAAUAACUAGUUGUCUCUUGUACUCAAUACAUUCCUCCAUUAUGCCACAUAAUAGCGAAUCUCCUUCCAUAUAUAAUAUACAACUGCCUCUAGUGCCAACUUUUUUACUGUGUUUAUAAAACAUUCUUUCUUCCAAUGACAACUGAGCCAUUUAACUUCAGUAUUCCAUUCAUAAGUUCCGCGUAUUGCAAGCAGCAUUGCUGUAUUCUUGACCAAAUAUAAGUUGCAUACUCACAUUAAAAAAAGAGAUGAUUACAAGAUUCAUUUCCAGUAUAGCAUAAUACAUAUCUCAUUUCAGACAUAAUGCCCCACUUAACCAACCUGUCCUUUGUGCUUAAUUUGUUCUUACACAACAACUACAAGAUAAAUGAAUGUUUCGGAUAUAUUUUUUGAAGCACACAAGAUGAUGCCAAUAGACCUCAGUAGCGAAAUGGUUCAACACUUCAUUUGCAGAUUUGACAGAGAACAAAUCUAAUUUACUGGGCAGCUAUUUCACUAUAUUUGACAUUCCCUCGCUUAGUAACUAUCCAGAAGGAAAAAAUUGUGCAAAAUCAUCAACUUCAACAGGUCUCCUCCUACCAGCAGGGAUCUUCCACUCUCUAUUUUCAAUGAUAGAAAAAACCUUAGCUUGUGGCGUACUUCCAAACUAUCGCACCAUAUUGGGUCCAUAAGCUGUGAAGCAUGGCCCUCUAUGGUGCCAAUUAUCAUACCAAAGAAGUAUUUUCUCCACUUUUGAUCACUGAGACAAUAAAAGGCUGUAUAAUAGAUCUGAUUUGAAGGAGUUUAUGCCAAACCCAAGAACAAAAUUGAGGCAAUGAAAUAGACCAGAAACAUUUAUUUUUGAGUUUCACAAUGUGAACCCAAGCAAUCCAAAGAGAAUCCUUUUCAAGUGUUAUGUGCCAGAUACAUUUAAACAAUAAAGCCUUAUUCCAAUUAGUCAAAUUAGGUAAUCCAUGUUCUCCUUGUUUGAUAGUAGGAUGAGAUUGUUGGUGUGUUAGUUACUCAUUGUCAAUGUUUGGAUUUACUUCUGGUCUAGAUUGAACCAGAAGAUGUUCUCUUUCUAUUUAAUCAGUAUAGGCCAAAUCUUGGUAAUUUCUAUAUUUCUUGGUUCACAUAAAUGUUGUAUUGAGUUCGAUACCCAUGAUACGAGACUGACCUGCUGGAGUAAUGAUGGAUUGUAGAUUAUUUGUGAUCCAAGAUCAUCCAAAAAGCAAACUGAAACAACCUUAGUGGCCCAAAAUUUUUUUAAAAAAUAAUAAAACGAGGUUGCAAAUUUUCAGAUAAUAAAACAGAAAUGCUGAAAUUUGCUACUUCUCAGUCGAACAAGAUUGUUAAUUAACCUUAGAAGCCCAUAAUGCAAAUUGCCAAUUUUUUGAAACCCAUUCUUUCUAUGAACUUUUCCUAACUUGUACUCGCUCUUCCAAACUUGGAUUACCAAUUCAAAUUUGCGGUCUAAAUUCCAUCCCAGGUAGAACACAUGUACUUAUUAUUUACUUGGUAGAUUUUUUGUUGAGGAAUCUGAGUUUCUAAGAAGUGAAUUUAGUUGAGAAGGCAAACCAACCAAUGCUUCUUCAAACUUGUCCAACUACAUCUGACGAUUCUGACCAACCAUUGCUUCCUAUAAAAAGCAUCAUCUACCCGCUCAUCCCCUACGGAAUCAAUACAAAACAAAUUAAUCCCCUACGGAUUCAAUUUGAAGCUUCUACCUUCUGCAUUAAUCAAACAAGUGCUCAAAAUGACUACUUCUUCCAAUGUCUGCUUCUUUCUGUCUUUGCUCAUUGCUUUAUCAUUUUCGAGCAUCCAAGAAAGCCAGGCGGCUCGCCAACUAUUGCAAACUUCCCCACCAGUGAUACCAGCAAUACCAACAUUGCCUCGUACAACCCUGCCAAAUUUGCCUACCACAUUGCCACCAUUAUCAAGUAUUCCUUUGCCAACAUUACCGACAAAUCUUCCACCUUUGCCAAAGCCCACAUUGCCAACUAUGCCCACAGUUCCUAAGGUGGCCCUCCCUCCCAUUCCAGCUGCAACUUCAUUGCCAAACAUUCCAUCCACAAUUCCUUCUAUCCCAACUAAUAUCCCAACGUCAUUUCCUUCAAUUCCUUUCUUCUCUCCACCGCCAUCCAACUAGACCAUUUUAGACAUGAACACGAUUCAGUGUUUGAAUUUGCAUAUUUGUCGUUCCUUCAGAUUGCUUAUCGAUACGAUUUCUUGUACUUGAAAUUUUUACAGUUUCAUUAGUCCGUCUAGCUAGGGAUCUUAUGAAGUAGACGGAGUUUGGAUUUCAUGUAUUGUGCCUUGGAGAUUGUAUUCGGAUUGUUUAUGUUAUGAAUUAUGAUGAGCUCUCUGACACUAUGAACGAGCACUUUUUUACGUAUGUUUGUUUCUUUUGCCAACUCUAAACAUAACUUUAAGUCAUAGAUAUGAAUGUGGGAGACAAAAGUUUUUAGUUUUGAGUUUUGGGAUCUAUAGCAACCGUUAUACCAGAAUACAUCUACGCUUAAAAUGGUGUACUCCCAAAAAAAAAAAAAAGAAAGAAGUUUUGGGAUGGGCAUAAUGAAGAGUUUCAAUAUGUAAGUUCUAUCAUCUGCACAAAUAAAUUGGAAGCUCAUGAUGUGUUAAUGUACAGACAUUUGGGAAAAUGUUGCGGAAUUUGUGUUUUUUUUUAUUUGAAAGAAUGAAAAUUCUAUCCAAUAAAGACUACAUUCACUUCACAAAAAAAAAAAAAAAAAAAAAAAAGAUUAGAUUCACCAGCUGUCUAAACUUUCAACUUAAAAAAAAAAUUAAAAGUCUUUGAUGAUUAAUUACCUUAUUAAGUCUCUCUUGCCAAUAAAAUCUUGAUUUAGUAGUGAAACAACACUACUAAACCACUUGCAUUAAGAGCUGAAUUCAUCCGAACAACCCAAAAGAUUCGUUUUAAAGAGAUAAAUAACAUAUUUUGCAAAAAAAAAAAAAAAAAGUGAUGCCAUAGCAAAAGUGUGAAAAAUAAAGGGGUUACACGAACACCCUCCAUCAGAAAAUUAUUACACGAAUGAAAUCUAGGUAUGAAUCAGUGAUUCAUAAGAAAUGUGAGAUAACUUUCAACAGUUAGAAUAUCCAAUUAAAAUUUCAUUAAUAGUUGAUAAAAGACUUGUUAAAAAGUCCUGGAAAAACCUAUUUAUAAACUAUAAAAGUUUAACCUAAAAAGAAAACAAAACACACGAAAAACUCUAAAACAACUAAAAGAUGCGUUGCAGCCGUGAUGACCCUUCAGAUAUAUUUAGUAACACUAGAUUUUUUGUUUUUUUUUUGGGGUAGGUUCGGGUAACAUGAUUUUGCUUCUUAGCUAGAAGUGACGGGUUCAAAUCUAUAUUCAAAAAAAAAAAAAAAAAAAGGACUGGUAAAAAGGCUUUUCAUCUGACGAUUUUUUAUGGGAUUUAAUUGCAGUAUUGUCAUCGCCAAUGGUUCAAGGGAUGGACGUGAAAAUGGCCACAAUUAUCUCAAGAAAAUUACUUCAGACUGAAUGCGAAGUUCCCCUGCAGACGAUUGAACAUGCAGUAAUCACUCUUGUUGUUGACAACCCAAUAUGCGAAGAUGAUGAUGAUUGUGAUGCAGUAUUCCAAAAAAAAAAAAAAAAGUAUGCCAGCAGGUGUAGCCUCAAACCCUGAAGUGAUUGUUCGAGAUAAUUCAUGGUUGGAACUUGGAAUCGAAACGCGAGAUCUGCUUUCUCUACAUGAAAAAUCUAAAUAAAAUCCUCAAUUUCGACAUAGUUCAGAUAAAUGUUUGAUAAGUCAAUUGUUGUACUUUGCAUCUUGUGACCAAGUCUGUAAUGCAAAUAAUAGGAAAUAAACCAAAGUGCAUUGCAGUACAAGGGCUGCUCAUGUCUGUUUGUAGUUUAAUUUGAAUAUUUCGUGCAAGUUAUAUGUACGUUCUCGACAUUAUUUGCAUGGAAUGUCGCUCAUGCUUUAAUUUGACCUUUAAUCCCUUUCAUUUUUAUUACUUGCAGUAGUAUUAAUACAAGGACUUUUACUUCGACUAAAUAAUAGGAGAUCGAUUAGUAUGAAAUGAGAAGCUCUCAAGAUACAGAGGGAUACUUAUGUUUUGAUGCCAUGAAAUGUACCCCUACCUCUUUUUAAAUUCCAACCUUCCCUUAUUAUUAAAAAAAAAAUUUAAAAAAAUAGAAAAGUAAGCUGUUUUUUUUUUAAGAGGACAACUUCACAUCACAAAUACAGUUGAACUACUCUUUCUUUUUUUUUUUUUUUUUCCUUCUCCUCGUCAAGUGUUGGCCUCAGUAUCGCUGCUGUUGGAUUGGAUUUUUCUCUCAAGUUUCUCUCCUGUAUUGACCUUACCCCAUUUCAGACUCUGUGGGGGAAUUCUUAAUAACCAAGUGUACACUUGCACACCAUAAACUGUUGGUAGUUCAUCAGCAUUCUAAUUCCAAACUAAUUCCAAGUUUAGUUGAGAAAGGCCAACUAAACCUAAUUCUACUAAUCCAACUACAUUCGAUCAAACACUUUCACCUCUAUGGCUAUCUAUAAAUAAGAGUCAAGAAACAAUAUGCGAGUCCCUCAACUCGAAACCAGAAAAAUACCCAUCUUGUACUUGCCGUAACACUUAAAAAAGUGUUUGCUAAUUUCUGAAUUUCAAUACAGGAUCAUUUACCAAUGGCUACAUCUUCCAAAGUUUGCUUUGUUCUGUCCUUGAUCCUAGCUCUAUCAUUUUCAAGCAUCAAGGUUUCUAACGCAGCUCGCUACCUUCUGCAGACGACGCCAGGAAUACCUACAAUGCCAUCGUUGCCCAAGUUGCCUCCAUUGCCUACCAUGCCAAGCUUCCCUACAGCCACAUUGCCACCAAUGCCAGCUACCCCUUUGCCCACAUUACCCACAAAUCUUCCAUCACUGCCAAAGCCCACAUUUCCGCCAUUGCCAAGCACUCAGCUUCCAACUUUGCCUACCAUCCCUUCCAUUCCCUCUAUUCCUACUACAAUUCCUACUUUACCUUUCCCCUCACCACCACCAUCAAGCUAGACAUUGAAAACGAAGCACUUGGAUUAUUUAUCAUCAUCUCUUUACUGGGAAGUCUGGAAAUCCAUGAAGAUUAUCGAUCAUUUCUUUUUUUUUUUUUUUUUGGUGGCUCCAGCCAUAUUCGUAUGUUACUCGUACUAUGAUUGCGGCGUUGUAUCUUUGUUACUCAUACUAUGAUUGUAUUAUUGGAUAUCUGUUACUCAUACUAUGAUCGUAUUAUUUGAAACCUUUCUUUCACGGGGUCUGAGUAUCUGGUUAAGAUUUGACCGACAGCCAUCAGAAAUCUAAUCUCAACAACAUAAAAGCGGUUCUUUGGUUACAUUCUUUGAAUUAAUUGCUUUUUUUUCUGAAAGACGAAAAUAAAAUGCAAAUCUAAGGCUGUGAACGAAAACACUAAGGACUACUAUCACCGACAACUGUGUACUGGGGCAGUAGCAAUUCAGUCCCUUUUACAAUCCAAGCAUUCAGGUGCAACAUACUUGUCUAGAUUGAAAUCAGGCUUCAUGUGAAAGUUGAUGGAACUUCAUCUUGGAGACCCCAAAAAAGAGAGAGAGAGAGAGAGAGAGAUAGACAAGCAAAACAUGAGAGGAAUAUUACUUUUCAUGCACUUUUGUAGUCUGGAUGUAAAUCUUGUCAUCACAUCUUUGAUAAAUAUGCUGUUUAUAUCACAAUAGUGAAUUGAAAUAGAUUAAAAUUUUUUAUGUUUUUUGGUUUAAAUGAGAAUUUUGUUCACCAGUUAAUAUACACAAGCUGUGUGUUCAAGCAAUGACGAGUUUGGGUCCUCUUAAUUGUUGUAACUUCUAGAGCUGUUUGGUCGUAGUUGUGCAAGCAACUCAUUAACAUAAAAUAACUAUGUUGACCACUUCAACGAUUUUUAUAUAAUUCAUUAGGAUAUGGUACAUGUAUGUAUUGUGUGAUUUGAUAUUAUUAUCACAGUCGAUUUUUGUACUUUUUACAUAAUAUGAUAUGGUAUGCAUUUACACAAGUUAUUGCACUGAAUUUCUUACGAGAUGGAGUGCAAAAGAACAAAACGUACAGAAAAAAUAAAAUAUGGCUCACAUGUACAAUCACAUGAUGUAAACUUGCAUCAAAAAAUUAUGUAACAAAUACAGUAGUAUAGAACUGCACCUACCGCAAUGGUACUUGCAUCAUUUCCAUUUUAUCUGCAUCAGAAAGGAGCUACAAAAAAAUGCUAAACUAUUAUUAGCAAGUUUCGCAACUCAUCCAAAGAAAUCCAAACGGAUGUACAUCAUCCUUUGAAUUUUUGGUCUUAACUUUCCCAUUAUGGUAUGUGUGUGUUUGAAAAGUAAAAGCCGAAAACAAGAGGGGACUUUGAAGCAGCUGACGAGUUCCACGCAUGCAGUUGCUAAGAAAACCCCCCCAAUGUAGUGUUACCAUUGCGAAAUCAGUUUCCAGGUGUACAGCACUUUUGCUACCUGUCACCAUUUCAGCCCCUUCGCCAUGAAAUUUUUCCAAAUCAUAUCUCAAAAACUCAUCUAAAACCUGAGAAACCAUAAGUCCAGAUUGAGAAAAUGCCAAGAACCCACCGCACUGCAAUUUUCUACUGAUAAUCUAGACACCAACGUCAUAUUCUAAUCAAUGUAUCAAGCUCUUCAAGCACAUAUCAUGAAAUCCUUCUGGUUUCCUUCACUAUAAAUAGAGCUUGAAUGAACUAGUAUUUUCCUAACAUCUUCAGUAUCUCUUUUGUAAGCCAGAAAGCACAGGAAAAAUGAAGUCCAGAGCGUUUAUUUUGGUUGCACUUCUAUGUGCUCUAUUUCUUCUCGUUUCUUCCACUAUGGCUGUUGAUACACCCAAGGAUGGAACAAAGGGUAAGAAAAUACUAGUACCAAGUAGCUAUGCUUAUGUUUUUGCAAGAUUUCCAUCGGUCAUUAACUUGAUUUUCUUAUUUUUCAAUAGAAAUAUCAUACGAUCUCCGUAAAUGAAUAGUAUGGAUUAUAGGAUGAAUUACAAAUGUUUGCCUGGUUGACAAUUAUUGUUUGCAGAGGACAAGGCAAAGGAACCCGAACAAUAUGGAGGUCGGUGUCGUUAUGGCUGCUGUGGUCGUCGGGGCCCCUAUGGUUGUAGUAAGUGCUGCAGAACAGGUAAUAGUUGCACCAUUCAAAGAAACAGGAUUUAAAUGCGUGAACAGUAUUUGUAACUUAAAAAGUUGUGUUGUCCAUGUAGCUAAUGAAGCUGAAGCAACCCAAGUAAACGCUGACAUCAAUGGCAAUGAAGGCGGUGGACAUGGUGGUGGCGGCGGCUAUGGAGGUGGUGGCGGCGGACAUGGUGGUGGCGGCGGCUAUGGAGGUGGUGGUGGUGGCAGCGGAGGUGGUCAUGGUGGGGGAGGUGGUCAUGGUGGUGGAGGUGGAUAUGGUGGGCACUGCAGGUACGGCUGUUGUGGUGGCUAUGGCAAAUAUUGCAGGUGCUGCUACAACCCUGAAGAAGCUCAAGCUUUUGUACAAAAUGAGAACUGAGCCAAGCCAUAAAUCAAGGAAACUUCCAUGUACAAGUUUGCGUGAAUAACUACAUGGUUGAAUGUUGAUCUUAUGACAAAAAUAAAAUACUUAGUACAUGUGCUUCUGUGCUUAGCACAUAUGUAAGGAAUAAAAAGUUUCAGUCAUCAUUUGAUGAUGUGAAUUUCAACAAGUGUCCUUCAAUCCCAUGCCUGGAUUUUUUUUUUUUUUUUUUUUUUUAAAUUUGACAUCUGCUACUUGUCAUGUUUGUCUUUGCUCUUAACAUUUGCACUUGAAUGCUCCAGUCAAAAUUUAAGUAAAUUUGUGAAAUAAAUAAAAAUAGCAACACCAGACCAAUCAUUCAUGAUAGAAGUAGGAAGUAGGAAGCCAGAGAGAUAAUUGGAAAGUACACUCGAUUAAAGAAAAAACAACGAAAGCCACAUAAAAUCAGAAAAAAAAAAUUAAAUCGAGUGUAAUUGGCAGGGUACGUAUUCAUGCCACUGAUGGAGGCAAUGUAGUUGCAGGAAUUGCUGGCUUUGUGGGCUAUGACCAUAUAGAGUUGUAAGUAAUUUCUCACAGUAAAUGUUCUGCUUGUUCGUGGAAACAAGAGAACUAAAGCAUCAUCAGGUUUGACAAAUGCAAGUGCACAUCUUUGGACUUGGGAGUUGGGAGGACUCGGGAGCUAAUACCUACAUAGAAAAUGGGCGAUGGAUGAAGAAAGGUGCUACAGACUUUUUAUGUCCUCCAAUGUGGGUGGCAGAAUACACUUUCCUUGAAGUUGAUCAGCGAGAUUACUUUUGUGAUUGCUGAAAUUCAUGACAAAACGGUUCAACAUCUUCAAUCACAAAUUCGUCGAACUGCAAUUAUAAUCUCAUUGGACCAAACUCGAGUAAGCAAAUCAAAUCAAAUCGCUAAUGUCACUUCUUCCAAGUAGCGCUGACAUUCUAAGAUUGACAAGGAAAUGCAGGCUUUGACUCAUCAUUUACUUAAAGCAGGAUACAACAGCAAAAGAAAUCCAGAAGCAAAGAAUAUGAAACUAACCUGAAAACAAAGAUUUAGUAUUUCACAUUUAGAACAGUUACACGCAAAUCAAAAACAUUUUUGCUGCAUUGGGUCGGUGAACAUCCGUACAAGCAUGUGUUACAACAAGAUGUAUACAGUCUCAGGAGUCAUGCUACUAAAGUUUGAUGCCCGAUGCUCUCAGAAGAUAAAAUGGAACUCAGACACGUCGCUGAAGACUGGAGAGUCACUCAUCACUCAAAUGGUGGUCUUCUUAGACAAAGAAAUACCAUUAUCACAGCUGUUUAAGUAAAAUCCAACAGUCAAAGGCAACCAAAAAUAGUUAAAAUGAGGCAUAAAACAAAUAGAUUUCACAUCAGACUUCAACGACACUACUUGUAAGCUUGCAUUUCUGCAAAAGUGACUUAAGAAAGGGUGCCGGAUGAUAUGUUUGAGAAACCAAAGAUUGCAUUAGUUAAAUCCGCAUUUAAAUGCACAUUAUAUACUUAGCCAGUCGUAUUGACCAUCCCAAUUAGUCACGAGAAUCAUACAACUCAAGGCUGAUUAUCAAAUCAAAAGGAGUGGUUUGAAAACACAAAAUUUGGAAAAGAUGGCCAAUGGAAAUGUGGUUACAAGUACGAUUGAAUAUGAGAAACAUAACAAACUUGAUAGAUCUUCCUGCUGAAGUUAUUUGCUUUUCUUUUAAUUAGUUCAUAAAAUGUUAUUCGACUAUAAUAGUCAGCAGAAAGACAUCCAGAAAUUUUCUCACUCCAUAAUUGAAUUUAAGAAAAGAAAUUUAUACUAUAAGUUAAGUCUAUGCCAAUGAACAAGUUGCACAAAAUUAGUCCUUAAAUAACUGAAACACGGCAAGAUAUAUUUAUGAAAUACACCAUACUUGCAAGUAAGCUUAGUCAAUUUAAACAAGAAGAAGCAUCAGAUAAAUAAGAUCGUUUAAUAGUAAGAGGCAAAGGAAAGAAUAUUACCCAUGAUGCGAGCCUUAAGGGUGAUGAGGUUGCAGUCUCUUCAGAAAAAAGGGUCAUACUAAAGAACCAGAAGAGUUCUUAAGCCUUGUCUUAGCGCUUGAAAAAAACAAUAUCUCUGCCGCAGCUAACUUUGAUAGCUUCCUCCAAACUCUCCAUCUGAUCAAAAUCAACUUUGAAGGUUACCAUGGUAACACCAUCUUUUCCAGUGUCAUAAUCUUGCUUAAUGUCUUCAGCCCGAAAUGAUUGUAGCUGCAAGAUACACAAAUGGUGUAUUUGUGAGACAACUGUUUACGAUGUUGAGAUGCACUAAUCACAACCUCAUCAAACAAGUCAAUGCAUUGAUGACAUUUAGCAAACUGGUAAUAUAUGAAAAACUGACGUAUGCUCCACAUGUCAAAAUGACAAUCAAAACAUGAUUUGUCAUGACAAUAUUUGACAGUUAAUUAGCCAGCAACACAACCAGAAGAGAACUUAUAAAUCCUCUGAAUCUUACCUGAUGGUAGAGAACCCCCAAAAGGUCAUAUGGAAUCUCCAAGCCCAUUGGAACCUACAAAUCAAGAUCCUUGUCACAAUAUUUAAUUCAUGAAGCAGAUUUCAAUGUGCAAAGUACGAAGUGGAAAAGAAACUUAUAGAAUUAGACUACUAUUGAUUCAAUAGGCACAAGUUUUAGAGAAUGUAAAAGCCAGCAAGGAUGAGUUGUUACUUUGGACUUGACAAGACAAGUGGGGGCAUUUCUCAAACAAUCAGCAGCAACCCCUCCAUAAGCCCUGACUAAACCUCCGGUGCCAAGUUUAAUACCUCCGAAGUACCUAAAUUAUGAAAUGCAAAAAGAUGAACAUCUUGAAUAGCUUCUCUCCCUAGAUAGAAAAGCCAAAUAACAGACUAAUGGAUGUCAAAAACUUAAUGCAUGUAUCAAAAAAUGAAAAUUGUUACGUAAAAACAACACUCUCUACAUUUCAUUCACAAAAGAAACAUUUGAAUCAGAGCCAAAGGGAAAAAAGCAAUAGCAUGGCCCCAAAAAAUGUGCAACAUUUGUCUACCUGAUCACGACUACCAUAACUCUAUCAAUCCCAGAAGAUUCAAUUGCAGAAAGUAUUGGCUUGCCUGCUGUACCAGAUGGUUCACCGUCAUCAUUACUCCGAAACUGAUCCCCAACCUAGAAUUCACAAAUAACUGCAUUUGCGUCGAAAACAACCAACAAACAAAAGGGGCAAAGAGAAAUAAAAGCCUCAUAAUUGAUUCAAGUACCCCAAGAAUCACUAAUAACUAUCAUACCGGAAAAGAUCAAAUUUUGUACCUUAUAUGCCCAACAAUUAUGAGUAGCCUUGGGGUCACGAACCUUAUUUCCAAACAAAACAAAAAAUAAGUCUUUAAUGGCAAAAAUAAAAAAAUAAAAAAAACCAAAAGUAAAAUGCAAGAAAGAAGAGAGGAAGGAGUGAUUAUUAAUACCUCAGUGAGGAAGGCCUGAGCAGAGCGUUCAUUAGAGAUGGUGCCAGCAAUGGCGAUAAAUUUACUCUUCUUUAUCUCUGUCUGAAAUGUGACCCUUUCUUUAAUUGUGGUAAAGGCACCACCUUUUUUAUUAUUAUUGGGAUUAGAAUCAGACGCAGUGAUGCUAUUGCUGCUAAUGGUGGCCAUUGGCGUUAGAUAAAUACAGGGUUUUGUCUGAAUUACGGAGAACGAGGGAAGAAAACGGUGACGGUGAUUCUGAAGAUUGUGAUGGAGAAGAAGGGCUUUGUUCAGAUUCUUGAAAGGGAUUGAGAGAAUCCGCAUAGAAGCAGCCGCCUGCAUCAGCAAAAACCUUAAUUUCUUUCCAUCUAAAACGUUGUCGUGAUGGUGGAAUUCGAUUAAGGUUUCGUUCUUUGUUUUUUAUGCUCAAUUUUGAGGACAGAAAAAUAUGCAAGCAACAAAAUAGUCUUUAGGAUUAUAGAGCACGCUUUAAAAUAUGCAAGCAACAAAAUAUUCUUUAGAAACAUCGAGGCGUGGAACUCUUGAGUAUUAUAUGGGACGCUUUAGAUUGAGGGCGCAAAAGGAUGGGGAUAUUUGGGGGAAAAAAAAAAAAGUUACCCCACAUUUGUGAUUUGUUACUCGAAUAGACAAAAUUUGGAAAAUGCACUUCCAUCCAUUAAAAAGUAACUUUAAGAAGUUAGCCUAGAACGACAUAUGCAUAAUUUGGCUUAAAUACCUACAUUUUGAGAAUUUCCUUGAAAAUGUUAUUUGCGCCAUUUCUGUUAAUUACACUCCCACUAUUAUUUUAAUCAUAUAAUUUUUGUUUGUUAGAACAUAUAAUAAAACAAAUUAUGCUAGUGCAAGUAACAAAAAAUGAGUGCAAAUAAUAUUUCUCUUUUCCUUUUGCUCAAGUUAUGCAAGUAGUAUUUCCUCUGUCAACGAGCAAUUCUUAGGUUUUUUAAUGAAGGACAACAAAAGUAUGAAAAUACAUAUUCAAAUGAUGUCCAUGCCAAAAUAAGAAGACCACCAUGCAAAGAAAUAUGUCAUUGUGAAUUUUAAUAUUAAAUUAUCAAGGCUUACUGCAAAAUAAAAUGUAAAAGAUCAAUAUGAUGUUAAGAGAUGUGAUUCGCUAACUAAAGGUUUUUUCAUGAUUAAAUUGGAUUGGCACUCCUCAAAAAUGCCCCUUUUCAAUCCAAAAGUCUCAUACUAAAUAUGAAAAUAAAAAAAAAAAAACAAACUAAGAUGAUGGUCUUUUCAUUCGAACCUUCAUUUUGUACUAAACAUAGAACUAGAAAUAAGUUAUAAAAACAUGAUCUAUUCAAGUUUAUGUGAAAAAAGUAAAUUUUUCACAAAAAAAUUUUGCAUGUGCUGAUGAGCCAAAAUAAGCAAAAUACCACACUUUCCUAGUAAAUCAAGCACAAAUGCAAGGAAUUGUUUUUGCUUUCUAAUACUAUUGAAAACUAUAAUUUUUUAUUCGCUUCGCUGUCUCCAUCCCCAACGUCGCUUUGGCCGAGUGGUUAAGGCGUGUGCCUGCUAAGUACAUGGGGUUUCCCCGCGAGAGUUCGAAUCUCUCAGGCGACGACUCUUUUACCUUUUCGGCUUCCGUUUGCUCUUACAAUCUCACCGACUACUUUCUAGUAGUUCUUCACUUUUGACCGUUAAACACUUGUUCUUUCUCCGGCUUUCAAGUCAAGACAACUUUUCGUCCACAUUAAUCGGAGAACCUGAAAUGGGAACUGGAAGGGGACCUCACCGGAGAAAGUCAAUGACCACCUCUCCCUCUGUGGCUCUGUCCCCCUCCCCCAUAUAUACCUCUUCUGACUUUUGAAUUGUCUCAAGACCGACCCUAACGCGGUGACUCGGCCAUCCCUCCAACCAGUUUGGUGAACUGGGCAAUCCAGCCAACAACAACUCACCAAUCAAUAAGUCCAAUGCAUUAGGUCCACCCUCUUGACACGUAGCAUUUUCUUUUUUUUUUUUUUCAAGAAAAAUGUUUGGGUACAUUCAGCUCCAAUCAAUACUGGUGUAUACCUCCCGAACCAUAGAUCGCUUACAGAAAUUUUUACAGAUCGCCUACCAACACAGUUUUCACAUUGGCGGCGGGAUUCGCAUACAUAAUCUUUUGUAAAAAAGUGAUUCAUUCUUAUUAAUUGGACCAACUUGUGUAAAAAAGUGAUUCAUUCUUAUUAAUUGGACCAACUUGUGUUGACAUAGCCUUUGUUGUUCAUGAAAAAGGUUGCAUUUCCUUUCAAGUCUGGAGUAGUGACUUAUGGGAAUUGGAAAAUAAGGGUGCAUUUAAUAAAAUUGAAAUUUGAGAUUUGAAAUCUAAAAUCUAAAUUUAGCAAAUUACUAAAUUAUUAAGUACCAAAUUUAAUAGUACAUUUGAGUGUAUGUCACAUUAAGUGAUAAGUGAAUAGCUUAUCACUUAUUUUUUUUAUCCAAAUUUUGUCUUAAAAAAUUCAGCGUCAUUUAAUUAGUUCAAAUAUUUUAUUUUUAGUUAUCAAACGUGUCGAAAUAAGUUAAAAUUUGAAUACACUAAAUUUAAGUGAUGAAUUAGGUUAGCAAACACGGUGGAGUCAAGCUUAACAUUUGGCUGCAAUCAAAGGGUUAACGGCCCCGUCAGUCUAUGACCAUAUUUAAUUUCAAUGAUAAUGUGAACGACUAACAUAUUUUAUCAGCCUCAUUUUUUCUCAAACUUUUUGACAGUUGCCAUUAGCCUCAUCUACCUGAUGGAAUUGGUGUCCUUUAACGUGGUCAAGUGACGUUUUCUUCUUCCAUGGGCCAAUUACUUGGGAAUUUUUUUUCUUUAAUUAUAUGAUUAAAAUUAACACACAAUAAUGACAACAAUACUGAGCACACACAGAUUAAAACUGAUCAACAACAUUACAGCUAAUAACAUUAGAAAAUGUGGGAUGGUAACUAAUAAAUUCACAUUCAGUGAGAUUUAAACCCAAGAUUUGUUUAUUUACAUGAUUUAUAAAUCGUCUCUAUUAAAUUAACCUUUUUAAGUUAGCAUGGCAAAUAAUCAUCAAGCGAUCUGUGUAUCUACAUGAGCAGAAAUUUUACAAAACCAUUAUUUGAAUUACUCUAUAUGCAUAUGUUUUGAUGCCCUCAAAUUGUUCAGAAUACUUCAAUAAACAACCUAUUCAGUCGACACAUUUUUCAGUAUUCAGUAUUUCCAAUCCUUGUGAUAAGGUGGUUAACUGAAGGGUAGAUAUUAAAGUUCUCUUGAUUAAUAUUGAUUAAGUGCAUAAGCAUAUUAUUCUUUCAUCAAAUCCAAUAAAAAAAAUUCCUUAAUCACGCGUUAUAGUGACAUUAGGGUACCCCAAAAAAAAAAAAAAUGAAUCGAAUAUUGAAGCUGUUGAUUUGCAGCAUGGACUCGUUGAGGUUAGGUCGGAGGUUUGCUCAAGGGAGGUAAUAUCUUAGGUAGUGGCUGGAGGACCGGGCGCGUCAUCUAGAUGCAGGAGUUGAGGAGAAACUUUAAAUCAGUGAUGGAAAUUUGAUGCCAAAUAAUGGCCUUAAUUAGUUCUCUUCAUGGUGCUCAGUAUAUUUUUCGUCUAUAACGAACAUAUUCAGAUGCAUGAAUUUAAUUAUGAUGCGACUUUGGGCAGUCUUUCAUGGAUUGCCUGCUAUCAUAAGUAGCAAUUAGUUAUUGAACAGGAAUUGGACUUUUAACUUCUACUAGAGAAAUGCUUUUAAGACGUUAUUGUUUUCAGGUUCAGAUAUCUAUUGUAGAGAAGAUUACUUGACGAUCUAGUAAUUAACUGGAAGAUCUUAAGAAAAAAAAAAAAGAUCAGCUAGCUACUAUAAAUGGUGAAAUUUAAAAAGCGCGGAGAAAAAAGAAAAAUUUAAAUUCAAUAUCUCUAAAUCCUGAAAUCUCAACUUUAUUCAGCAUUGAAAAAUAAUUGUUCGAGAAAUUAUUACGUGUAAAACAUACAUUCAACAGUCAGAAACUCGAUCGUGUGUGUUGACUGGUCAAAAAUAUCUUUAGGGCAGGUCAGAAGAACAUGCUGUUGACUCUUGGCUCUUCUAUCUUGAUUGGGCCAAGGUGGGAAUCCGAUAUUAUUCCACUCUCUGUUCUUUUCUUUUGGCAGAGAAUCGUAUGCAUGAUAACAAAGCGGGUAUGCAGGCUUUGGGUCUGGGGAGGAAAGAAAAGAUGAAAAAUAAAAGAAGAAUGCGUCACGCUCUGACUUGGUUCCCAAAGGCAUCCAUUAUUCAGCUGGAACUCUGCUCUGGUCAAAUUUGCGCUGUGUAGACUACGCAGUAUUGUUCCAACCAUUCCAAGUCGUAAUAAAGCAACUUGUUGGACAACAAUUUCUAUUUUGUGGACGUAAUUCAUCAUGUAAUCAUUAGCAACCCUUCCAGAUUAUGGAGAGCUAAACAAAGUUGUGGUUUCAAUUACCUUCUUAUCUUUCUAACUAUUAUUUUUUAUUUCACAUACCUUACAUGCUAAUAUAACAGGUGCUACAAUAUUUUUUUUUAAAAAAAUAUUUCAAAUAAUCUCCGAUCCAAAAUUAUUAAUUUGGAUAGAAGAGGGAUUUAAAGGUAAGAAUGUGCGACACUUUAUUCUUUUUUAUUCUGGGGUUUAGGAGAGAAAUUGAGAAUUAUAUUUACUUUGCUUGGAAGUUAGUGUAUGAAAGAGAAAUGAAGCAUCCAAAUUAUUCUGACUUUCUCUACCUGUUAAGCAAGAGGUUUACUUUUUUUUUUUUUUUGGUCUACUUUUUUCAAGUUGAGAAACUUGUACAUGUCCAUAAUUACUCGAAAACUUGCAAGGAAACUAUCUUAAGGAAAAAGAGCCAAAAUAGGUAAGUUGCCAAAGCAAAUGGUGCAAAUAUUUGCUAAUUACCUUUCUAGCUCUCGUUGUAUCCACAAUUCACGAGUUCCAAUAAUAAUAAAAAAAAAUAAAACAACAAAAAUGAAUACAAAAUUGAAGUUUUCUAAGACAUUCAUUGAUACUCGAUAACACAUCUAAAUUUCAUCUAACAUAUCGCGCGUGUGCAUGUAUAUAUUGAUAAUUAUUGCCUUCCCUUCUCCUAUUUAUAUAUAUUUUUUAAUUAAUUUUAUUUUUUAAAAAAUUUAACACUUGAAUUAUAUUUUAAAAUGUGCCUAUUGGACACCCGUUAGAUAUAUCCUUAAAAAAUUGCAAAAAGCAAAAAGUUACAAAAGUGUUAAAGGCAUUAAAGAAAAAACUUUGUUGGCCACAGCCCGCAACAACACGAAUUCAUGAAUUCUCGUACUGACCCCCUUAUUCUUCUUUAACAGUAACCAAUAACCUUAGAACUCCGCCAGUUGGCCAAUUUGCAAAGCGCAGGAUGUGGUAGCGUUCUAUUAGGUCAUUAGACAAUUAGUCUCUGACCCCAUAACCGCGUAAACAAAUUCAACCUAAAUUCUACUACUACGCAAGAAACUUCCUUCAUUUCCCAUUUUCAUUUUCCUUUCGUUUCCUUUUUCCUAAAAAUAGUUCCAAUUUCCCCCACUAUAUAUAUGUAAACCUUUCUCCUCCCUUCCCCCUCAAACCAUCAAUCACUUCAAUUUUCUUUCCCCUUUUACCAGCACAUGUCUCAGAGACCCAACGUCCCACACUUCUCCUCCGUCGCCUGCGGCCUCCAUUCCCAUCUCCUGGUUUCCAGUGAGAUGUCCUCUAAUUCCAACUGGUCUUCUUCUGCUCGUACCUUGUAGCUAUUCCACCACCUAGUCUUUUUCCUUAAAUACCCCACAAAAUUAAAAAUUAAAAACCACACACACACUAAACCCAAACAAACAAGGAGAAGAAAGGAAUCAAGAAAAACGCUACUCAUUUUUUCUGAGUUCAACAAAAGAAGAAAAUAUGGGUUUGAAAGGCUUUCUUGAAGGAGGCAUAGCUUCAAUAGUGGCUGGAUGCUCCACCCACCCGCUGGACCUCAUCAAGGUCCGAAUGCAACUUCAGGGAGAAUCCCCCGUCCCCAAACCGGCUGCUCAAGCGCUCCGACCAGCUCUAGCCUUCCACCCUGCAGCUGGUCAGGUUUCUCAUCCUCACAUUCACGUCCCUUCUCCAUCUCUUCGUCCGCCGCCGCCCCGCGUGGGACCCAUUGCCGUGGGAGUCAAGAUUGUCCAGCAAGAAGGGGUCGCCGCGUUGUUUUCCGGCGUCUCCGCCACCGUCCUCCGCCAGACUCUUUACUCCACCACCCGCAUGGGACUUUAUGAUGUUCUGAAGCAAAAAUGGACCGACCCACAUACCAACAAGAUGCCUCUGGAUAGAAAAAUCGCUGCUGGGCUCAUCGCCGGCGCGGUUGGAGCGGCCGUCGGGAACCCCGCUGACGUGGCCAUGGUCCGCAUGCAAGCCGAUGGUCGGCUCCCGGUGGAUCUGCGGCGCAAUUACAAGAGCGUGGUUGACGCGAUUGGUCAAAUGGCUAAAACCGAGGGAGUUGGCAGCCUGUGGCGCGGUUCAUCCCUUACGGUGAACCGCGCUAUGGUGGUGACGGCAUCACAGCUGGCAUCAUAUGAUCAGAUCAAGGAAUCGAUAUUGGAAACGGGUCUGAUGAAGGAUGGGCUUGGGACCCACGUGACCGCCAGCUUCGCCGCGGGGUUCGUGGCGGCGGUGGCGUCGAAUCCGGUGGACGUGAUCAAGACUAGGGUGAUGAACAUGAAGGUCGAGCCGGGGAUGGCCCCACCUUACAGUGGAGCCGUGGAUUGUGCUAUGAAAACUAUCAAGGCUGAGGGCCCACUGGCCCUUUACAAGGGGUUUAUUCCCACAAUCUCAAGGCAGGGACCAUUCACAGUGGUGCUCUUUGUCACACUGGAACAAGUCCGGAAAUUGUUCAAGGAAUUUUGAUUUUUGAGGAUGAUGACGAAGAAAUUAGAAUAAAAAGAAAAUUAUGUUUCUUCUUUUAUGUUCCUGAGAUCUGGGAGUUUGAAUAGCAAGAAAUCUGUCAGAUACUGCAUGUCCUUUGAUUUAUAGUAAAUGGUUAAUUUUUUUUAAUUUGAAUUAUAAACUUGAAACCAACGCAAUUAAAGUAUUCUAUUUUUCAUUAUUUUCAAAGGUCGUGGGAGAAUACGUAAAUCAAUGCAAACUUAUUUGUCUCUUGGACGAACAAAUUAACUUUUACUUUUGGCCGAAUAUCGAACAAAGUCGAUGCAAUUUGACAAAAGGUGAAUUUGAGUGGCUGCAAUUAGUACUAAUUGUUUGUUCAUGUGAGCUAGGGGCUCUAGCUUCUACUUACCCUUUUUUUCCUUUUUUCUAAAUGAGCGGUAUUAGUCUCAUGUUCUUGUUUUUGUAGUCCCAUAAUUACAUAUAAUAUCAGCAAAAAGUUAUAUCCCAAGCUUGAUUUUGGUUUCUUUGUUAAGCAAAAUUCAGUUCCAAAUUAGCAAUAGUAUAUAGUUGUGUUUGGACAGACAUUUUUCGUCCAAAAAUUACUACAUUUUCCGUGAACACAUUUUCCUAUCAUCUUUUUACUUCACAUACAUCAAAUCAAAUCGCUACAGUAAUUUUUUUACAAAAAAUCCAGAAAAAUGCAAUCCAAACACAACCUAUUAUAUUGUUGAAUUCAGUUGGACUUUGUACUCAAGUGGAAUAUUCGAAGCUCAUAUGCGCUGCUAAAAAGUGCUGGUAUAUUCUUAUAAGAUAUGUAUAUAUUCUUUAGUUAUGGCUAAAAUUGAGACCUUCAGAAAUUAAAAGUCUUUUUUGUUUUUUGAAUCUCACCUCUUAUGUGCCAAAAAAAAAAAAAGUUCUUUAGCUAGAAGUGAUCGUUGUAAGAUAUGUAUUUUCUCAAGCUAAGAAGUUAUUUAAGGAUCAAUAAUAAUUAUUCUUUUAUGUUUUCAAACAAACUUUAUGAAAAA